rnacentral:rRNA from 1 species
ACGCUCGACACCUACGGAAGGCAGCAGUGGGGAAUAUUGCACAAUGGGGGAAACCCUGAUGCAGCGACGCCGCGUGGAGGAAGAAGGUCUUCGGAUUGUAAACUCCUGUUGUCGGGGAAAAAGAGGAUGGUACCCAACAAGGAAGUGACGGCUAACUACGUGCCGGCAGCCGCGGUAAUCUGAGCGGGCUGGCAAGGC